UACGUAGGGUGCAAGCGUUGUCCGGAUUUAUUGGGCGUAAAGAGCUCGUAGGCGGCUUGUUAAGUCAGGGGUGAAAUCCUGGAGCUCAACUCCAGAACUGCCUUUGAUACUGAGAGUCUUGAGUUCGGGAGAGGUGAGUGGAACUGCGAGUGUAGAGGUGAAAUUCGUAGAUAUUCGCAAGAACACCAGUGGCGAAGGCGGCUCACUGGCCCGAUACUGACGCUGAGGUGCGAAAGCGUGGGGAGCAAACAGG
rnacentral:rRNA from 1 species